GACGAACGCUGGCGGCGUGCUUAACACAUGCAAGUCGAACGGAAAGGCCCUGCUUGCAGGGUGCUCGAGUGGCGAACGGGUGAGUAACACGUGGGUGAUCUGCCCCUUACUUUGGGAUAAGCCUGGGAAACUGGGUCUAAUACUGGAUAGGACCAUGCUGUAGGUGGUGUGGUGGAAAGAUUAGUUUCGGUAAGGGAUGAGCUCGCGGCCUAUCAGCUUGUUGGUGGGGUAAUGGCCUACCAAGGCGUCGACGGGUAGCCGGCCUGAGAGGGUGGACGGCAACAUUGGGACUGAGAUACGGCCCAGACUCCUACGGGAGGCAGCAGUGGGGAAUAUUGUACAAUGGGCGCAAGCCUGAUGCAGCGACGCCGCGUGGGGGAUGACGGCCUUCGGGUUGUAAACUCCUUUAGGCCAUGACGAAGCCCUUGUGGUGACGUUAGUGGUAGAAGAAGCACCGGCUAACUACGUG
rnacentral:rRNA from 1 species